UUGCGGUUAAAAAGCUCGUAGUUGGAUUUCUGUUGAGGAUGACCGGUCCGCUCUUUGAGCGCGUAUCUGGUUCAGCCUUGGCAUCCUCUUGGGGAACGCUACUGUGCUUGAUUGCAUGGGGCGGUAUUCAAGACUUUUACUUUGAGGAAAUUAGAGUGUUCACUGCAAGCGUUAGCAAUUGAAUACAUUAGCAUGGAAUAAUAAUAUAGGACCUUGGUACUAUUUUGUUGGUUUCUAGAACUAAGGUAAUGAUUAAUAGGGACAAUUGGGGGCAUUCGUAUUAACGCGUCAGAGGUGGAAUUCUUAGAUUGCGUUACGACGAACUACUGCGAAAGCAUUUGCCAAGGAUGUUUUCAUUGAUCAAGAACGAAAGUAUGGGGAUCGAAGACGCUUAGAUACCGUCGUAGUCUAUACCAUAAACUAUGCCAACUAGAGAUUGGAGGUCGUUCUCUUUAUGACUCCUUCAGCACCUUAUGAGAAAUCAAAGUCUUUGGGUUCCGGGGGGAGUAUGGUCGCAAGGCUGAAACUUAAAGGAAUUGACGGAAGGGCACCACCAGGAGUGGAGCCUGCGGCUUAAUUUGACUCAACACGGGAAAACUUACCAGGUCCAGACAUAGCCAGGAUUGACAGACUGAUAGCUCUUUCUC
rnacentral:rRNA from 1 species